UGAUAGGAGAGGGACUCACAGGAAAAGGAGUUCUAUCCCAACUAAAUUUGGAAACUGGGAUUCCAAUUUAUGAAGCAGAACCACUUCUCCUCUUCUUCAUUCUCUUUACCCUCCUUGGAGCCAUAGGAGCUCUCGGUGAUCGUGGACGCUUCGUUGAUGACCCACCCACCGGACUCGAUAAGGCGGUCAUUCCUCCUGGGAAGGGCUUUCGGUCUGCAUUGGGACUCAAGGAAGGAGGCCCUCUAUUUGGAUUCACGAAGGCGAAUGAGCUAUUUGUCGGAAGAUUAGCACAGUUGGGGAUUGCAUUCUCGAUCAUCGGAGAGAUAAUCACAGGAAAGGGAGCUCUUGCACAGCUAAACAUCGAGACGGGAGUGCCCCUCAGCGAUCUUGAACCACUUGUGCUCUUCAAUGUACUUUUCUUUUUCAUUGCAGCAUUGAAUCCUGGGAGUGGUAAGUUUGUUACUGAUGAAGAGGAGGCAUGAGAAUGAGCAUGAGCUCAGAGUUAUCUAGUUUACUAUGUUUGUAAGAAAUUGUUAUAAAAUUUUACGGGAAUUGUUGUACUUCUUUUUCUCAGUAGACGAUGUCCAAAUUUGAAUAA
rnacentral:misc_RNA from 1 species